rnacentral:rRNA from 1 species
AAAUUGAAGAGUUUGAUCAUGGCUCAGAUUGAACGCUGGCGGCAGGCCUAACACAUGCAAGUCGAACGGUAGCACAGAGAGCUUGCUCUCGGGUGACGAGUGGCGGACGGGUGAGUAAUGUCUGGGAAACUGCCCGAUGGAGGGGGAUAACUACUGGAAACGGUAGCUAAUACCGCAUAACGUCGCAAGACCAAAGAGGGGGACCUUCGGGCCUCUUGCCAUCGGAUGUGCCCAGAUGGGAUUAGCUAGUAGGUGGGGUAACGGCUCACCUAGGCGACGAUCCCUAGCUGGUCUGAGAGGAUGACCAGCCACACUGGAACUGAGACACGGUCCAGACUCCUACGGGAGGCAGCAGUGGGGAAUAUUGCACAAUGGGCGCAAGCCUGAUGCAGCCAUGCCGCGUGUAUGAAGAAGGCCUUCGGGUUGUAAAGUACUUUCAGCGAGGAGGAAGGUGUUGUGGUUAAUAACCGCAGCAAUUGACGUUACUCGCAGAAGAAGCACCGGCUAACUCCGUGCCAGCAGCCGCGGUAAUACGGAGGGUGCAAGCGUUAAUCGGAAUUACUGGGCGUAAAGCGCACGCAGGCGGUCUGUCAAGUCGGAUGUGAAAUCCCCGGGCUCAA